GGAAGAGUGGCAGAGUGGUUGAAUGCACCGGUCUUGAAAACCGGCAAGGGUUCACGCCCUUCGUGGGUUCGAAUCCCACCUCUUCCGCCA
rnacentral:tRNA from 1 species